rnacentral:lncRNA from 1 species
CCACUUGUUGAUGGGGCUGUUUGUUUUCCUUGUAAAUUUGUUUGAGUUCUUUGUAGAUUCUGGAUAUUAGCCCUUUGUCAGAUGAGUAGAUUAGUGCCUCCCAGUUAUUUCUUGGGGCCCCUAAAAGAAUCACUCUCACAUAGGCAUAGAAAUAUCUUUCAGCUCCAGCCACCAUGGUCCCUUUUGCUGCGUUCUUUCUCCUCUGCUUCUUGGCACUUGAUAUAUUCUUGCACAUCAUUUUUAAAGACAGUCAUCAUUUCUUUUCUUUAAAAGAUCUUCAAGUACUUCUUGUCUCCCACUCCAGACUUUCUUUUUUUUCCACUCCACACUUUCAAAUCAAAAGUCAAACUUCCAAUGUAGAAAAUGCACAGGAGGUAUAGGAAGAGGGUAAACAACAUAAUGAGGAAACAACCAAGCACAUCCCGAAGGUGUGACAGCCUGCAGGACAACUGGUUUCAUCUUUUCAAUUAGUCUACGUUGCAGUUGGUGCUACGUUCAAAUUAAGACUUAAGGGACACAACAAGAUGCCACAGCGUUCUGCGUUAGAUUCUGUAAAGGACAUUUUAGGGUCACUGGGAAAUUUGAUUUUGAUCUAGUUGUUGUAUGGGAUAAAAACUGAAAAUAUCCCAAUGGAAAGGUGGAGCUUAUUGACUGAUAUAGUUUGGCUGUGUCCCCACCCAAAUCUCAUCUUGAGUUGUAGCUCCCAUAAUCCCCACAUGCCAUGGGAGGGACUCAGUAGGAGGUAAUUGAAUCAUGAGGGUGGGUUUUUCCCAUGCUGUUUUAAUGAUAGUGAAUACGUCUCACAAGAUCUGAUGGUUUUUAAAGGUCAGAUCCCCCGCACAAACUCUCUUGCCUGCCGCCAUAUAAGACGUGCCUUUGCUCCUCCUUUGCCUUCUGCCAUGAUUGCGAGGCCUCCCCAGCCAUGUGUAACUGUGAGUCCAUUACAUCUCUUUUUCUUUAUAAAUUACCCAGUCUUGGGUAUUUCUUCAUAGCAGUAUGAAAAUGGACUAAUACAAUGACUAAAAAAUGCAAGUAUAGUAUGAACUCAUUUAGCAAACACACACACAGAGGGAAAGAUCUGGA